rnacentral:tRNA from 2 species
GCGCAUGUGGUGAAAUUGGUAGACACGUCAGACUUAGGAUCUGAUGCCGCGAGGUGUGGGGGUUCGAGUCCCUCCAUGCGCACCA